GGUAGGGUGGCCGAGUAUCAGGCGGCGGUUUGUAGCACCGUGUACAGAGGUUCAAUUCCUUUUUCUAUCA
rnacentral:tRNA from 1 species